rnacentral:rRNA from 1 species
UGAAGGCAAGUAGCAGACGGGUGAGUAAUGCUUGGAAAUCUACUCAGAAGACAUGAAUAACUAUCAGAAAUGAUAGCUAAUACAAGAUAAUACCCUGAGGGGGAAAGGUUUAU